UUUAAAUAGAAAAAAUAUUCUUAAGUAAUUCCCUUUUCAAAUCUAAAUAUUAACUAUUAUAAUCUGCACAUCUUUCAGUCUCACCUUCAUUUCAAAGUGAGCUGGAGCAGAAACAAUUUUUCUUGAUCUGUCUGGUAUCCCAUGUCAGUUUGGUGAGGUGAAAAUUGACUCACCCGCAACUGAUGUCAUUGAAUUGUCAUCACAUGUGGACUCAAACACAGGAAGUUACAGACUUCUUGGCUUCUGAGUUACCCCUUGCUAAAGGUGCGUCACCAGAGACACACCCAUGUAACUGGUGUGCUCAAACUGGGGGGGGGGGGGGGGGAGGGGAAUGCAUGUAAACUGAACCAAUAAAAGAAGCUCUGUAAACAGAUCAGACAUCUUGAGAAUAAAACCUACAUACAAAAUGGGGUUUCCAUUUCAUGGAACGGGUCAAAGGCAAGUGGAAAGCCAACACAGCGAGAUGGGUGACAGCAGCACCCAGUGCAACAUGGGACAUAUAUGGCUGCCUAAUCCAGGACUUCAGCAGCAGGAAAAGCACCAUCUGAUAUGUAAAGUAUACAUAAGCACCUCUGGGAGAGCAAUGAUUCACUGGAACAGCCUCCCCAGGUGUGUGGUAAAAUCCCCGUCGCUGGAGGUUUUCAAGAUGGGAUUGGACAGGGUGUUAGGUAUCGCAUCUAGGCUUCCCUACCAGAUGAUCUUUUGAGAUGACUUCCAGCCUGGGCUAUUCUAUGAACUUUGCCUUAGGACUGAUUUUGUGACCAAAAGAUCAGCAUUAGCUGCUAGGCAUUAAAAAACCCUCUAAAAUGGGACCUUUAGAAGAUGGACAGAUGACUAGUCCACCAGUCCUCUGCAGGAAUGCUACAUCUUCAGUAAGAGAGACGCAGCUGCAGAAUUAAGAAGAUACCUUUCAAGCUACACAAUCUUCUACUAGUAAGCUAAACCAUUUUAAAAGUUCUACUCUGAUUAUGUUAUAUGCAUACACACAUAUAUAUUUUAUAUACUCCAUAUAUUUGUAUUUAUAUAGAUAUAUAUGGUUGGAGCAAAUGUGAUCAGUUGGCUUAUAAUAGAAAGUCUAGAAGAUGGUAAUUAGGUUGUGAACUUAAGGAUCUAGUUUUAUUUACAUAGGGUUUUAAAUGUAAUUAUUGUAUAUGGAAGCUUAAAACCAAUAUACAGUCAGUAUGAGAUCACACUGAAAUAGGCAGCAGUGAACUUAUCUUUAGCCAGCUUCCUCCCUGGAAAAAAAACCUCAGGUUGUUUAGCACCUCUGGUCAGAUACACAAAAAACUGAUAAACUGAAGACUCUGCUUCCGAAAUGUAAUUUCUAAUUUAUAGGAUAUAACACAAGACUUCUAUCAGACCUGAGAGCUGAAUUCCAAGUACCCGAUUUCCAUUUCUUUAGUCAACCAAUAUGAUUAGAGCUUCAUUUAGCAUCUUUUUCUAGAAUUCAUUUUUUGACUGUGUACUGUUGUGACAUGGUGAGAUAAAAUAAGCCAUUCAUUCAGUAAAUGCUGUUGAUAAAAAUAUAGAGAAAUAUACUUGAAGACAUUUCAAGGAAUACCAAGUUUAACAGGAUCUUACAAAAUUCUACAAGAUGCAAGUAGACAGUGUUUUUAAUAUUUGAGGGUGAAGCAGAAGUGAUGAAGAGAGGGUAUGCAGCAGAAUUUGUUUUUAUUUAGGAAUACCCUACAUAAAAAUGUAGCUAAACAGGAUGUCAAAUAAACACUACUAUGAAUGUCAUUGUUUUAAGGGCAAGGUACACUGCAAGGCUUAAAAGAUCCCAUUUGUUGUGGUUCAGCCCCAGCCAGGAACUUAAGUACCAUGCAGUUGCUUGCUCACUGCUCUCCUGCUGCACCACCACCCCUCCCCCAUGAGACAGGGAGGAGAACAGGAAGAAAGGUAGAACCUGUGGGUUGUGGUAAGAACAGUUUAAUAAUUAAAAUAAUAACGAAAAAGGAGAAAAUAGAGAGAGAGGAAUAAAACCCAAGAAAAAUAAGUGAUGCACAGUACAACUGCAGACCACCUGCUGACCAAUACCCAGCCAGUCCCAGAGCAGCGAUCCGUGUCUCUCCGCCAACUCCUCCCAAUUUUUACAGAGCAUGAUGUUCCAUGGUAUGGUCUAGCCCUUUGGGUAUCAGGUCAGCUGUCCUGGCUGUGCUCCCUCCCAGCUUAUUGUGCACCUGCUCACCAACAGAGCAUGGGAAACUGAGAAGUCCUUGACUUACAGUAAGCACUGCUUAGCAACAACUAGAACAUCCGUAUGCUAUCAAAGUUAUUCUCAAGCUCAACCCAAAACCAGCAAUGUACCAGCUACUAAGAAGAAAAUUAAUUCUAAGCCAAAACCAGGACACCAUUCUGCAAAGGGAAGGAGGGUAUUUUCACAAGUCCAGACUAGAAGAUACUGAGCAACUGACACAGACUUCAAAGUGCCUGUCAAAAACAGCACUUCUUUGCGUGUUUUUUGGUUGUUUUGUUGUUGUUUUUUUAAAAAUUCAAAGAACUGAAGCAAAAAAAAAAAUCAGGAUGAACUGGAAGUGCAACGUAAUGCAAUGAAUUUUUGAUUCAGAUCCUCACCCCUACAAAACUUGAUCAAAAUGAGUACUGUUAACAUUUCUGCAAAUUUAGACUGUACUUUCACAUAUAGGUUUCAACCUUCACAUUCCAUUUACUCAUAUUAAUCUUCCACCUGCAAAAUUUCAUUUCCGAAUAAUGUUCAAAACAGUUCACAAGCUGCCUAAGUAAGAAAUUCUAUUUCAAAAUAUGUUUGCACUAGGAAAUCUUUAAGUGAAGGGAGAGAUAAAGUGAAGCUGCUGCCGGUAGGGUUUGCUGAACUUCUAAGACCACACAAUACAGUUGAAUAGAUACGCAGCAGGGAGUGUUGCAAGGGUCACAGAGGAUACUACAGCUGAUGCAACAGGAAAAAAAGGUAUUGAAAGCAAUUUAUCCUUCGAUACAGUUAAUAUUUUUUUCUCCCAGUUCUGCUACAAUAGCCUAUGUACAAGUAAUCCAGUAUAAUCCUGCCUCGAAUUCUGAAGGACAAGUCAAGGAACAGAAAUACUAGAGUUUACUGCUAAGAUAUUACAAAACAUAAUACCAACAUACUUUAUACAGAGUGUUGUUUACCACUAGGAAAUCAUCAAUUUGCAAAAUCGCAUUUAUUGCCACAUUGUUGUUUCCCAUCCCUGACAAAGGCAGUUUGAAGAUUCACCGGAAUGAGGAAGAAGUUACUACUGAAUUUCAUGAGGAAAACCAGCUUUUUUAGAAUUCCUUCUUCACAAUCAACUUUACAGCAGCACUGCUGCUGUAAACACUCACUGUAUUCACCUGUGGCCACCAGAGACUACCACAGUUGCUAAGCAACAUCUCUUAGCUUCAUCUCAAUUUUGACAUUUGCCAUUUGGGAAUAUUCACCAGAACCUAACAGUCUUUUAAUAACCCCAUCUCAUUCUUCUCCUUUUCUAAAGAUCUAUAAUGUCCUGAUUAUGUAACAUCAGAUACCAAGUGAAAAAACGAAGUUUUCACAACCGUUUUAUGAAAUGCAAUUGAAUUGGUUUUUCAGGCACCGGUGAGUGCUUUUUAUUUAUGUACAGGAAUCUGCCUAUGCAAUUCUGUUUUGGUGAUCCUCUCCCAUACAGACUUUUCCCCCAAGUCUGCACAUUAGGGAGUCAAAAAAAAAUCAAAGGCAGAGCAAAAGGGGGGAGGUGGGGGGGAAGCAGCAGAAAGAGGGAAAACCCUCUUGUCUGCUAUGCUUUUGUAAAUAUCCAUGUGUAUCUACUGCAGAUAAAAUAUCUUAGAAUAUUUUCAUGUGGCAAGAAAGUUAUAAUAGUGCUACAGAAACCCCACUCAGUUUCAGCAACUGUCUUUCCUUUUCUGAUUUCUAGUUUCUCCACUAUAAGGUAAGCAAGAACAUAAAUUAGAGCCUUACACAGUAACAACAAUAAUAAAAAAAUUCAAACCCCAGAGCACUUAGCAUAUUAUCUACAUUUAUUCUAUUUAUAGAAUACAUAUAGUCCAUAAAUGAGACUGAACCCUCUCAAUCAAAGAAUAUCACACAUGAACCUAUACAUGUUCUCCUAUCUUAUAAAAAAAAAAAAAAAAAGACCAAUCCAAAUAAUCUUCAGUGACUCUACCAACAUGCAGAUAUCAAGCAGCAGAUUCCACAGUGGCAGAAAAAGAAAAGAGACUGCAAAAAUCCAUGCAGUCAGUGUAUUUCUGCGGAUAAUACUGCUAUGAGGUAACUGCUCCUUGAGAGACUGUCCACACAGAUUGUCAUCUAACCCAGAGAGGCUUCUUACUGAACAAUGCCUUACAGCACAGCAUCCUAUGCCCCGUACGGUUAUUCUGCACACUUUGAAUACAGUAAUGGUAUUCAGAGGCAAUGAGUUUUCCAGAAUUCUAGCAGAAUAAGCACUACCAUUGCUAUGCAACACCAUUUCCAAUAGUUUAUAGUCAAUAUUCAUACAGAUUCCCGUUCUCACAAACUCUCUCCUGACCUUAUUAAGCAGCAUUUAAGCAUUAAGUAUUCCACAGAUUGUCUUGUAGUAACGGUUCUGUUACGUGAACUAUAUGCCAUGACAUUUCCCUUUAGGUUCAGUAAGGAUUGAAGAGGAGAGAAUGAAGUUCUAAUAAUUAGGUGUAGGCUUUUGGGAUGAGAACUGUACAUAGCUGUAUUUUUAUGAAAUACUAAAUUAAGUGGAAUCAUGCAUGCACUUUAGGCUCAUCAAAUCACAGCCUUAAACUGAUCAGGGGAAAAAAGCAACUGCUUAGUUAACCAUUUGAAAUAGAUGACAAAUCUAACUAAUGUUACACAGAUGUCUCAAGGAUGCAGAGUAAAAAAAAUUUAGACAAAAGUGAUCCAGCUAUUGCACUUCCUCAACUUGCAAUACAAAUCUUAAUAAAGUCAACUACAGAGUUUUGUAUCAUGCUAUCAAGUUGGAAGUCAUAGAACAUUUCAAAGCAGUAUCAGAUUGACAAAGCUGCAGAGAAAGAGGGUUUCAAUUUUUAUUUCUUAUAUAAUUAAGUCUAGUUCAGGACUUACAGUAGAACCUUCUGGUGGAUACUGCCAGACCACAUCAACCAGACAGACACUGAGAAUGAAGUGGUUAAUUUGUACAGAAACUGCAUGACCAAUUUUAAGUUUAUUGCAGCCUUUGUUUUGUUUUGGGAUCUUCUGUGUUGAGAGGCAUACAUGAACUGUAGUCUUCAAGGAAAGCGAUGGUUCAGAGACACUUCUGGAUAACCUCCCAGAAAUACCAGUCAGAGAACACUACCUUGCUUCAUGAUCCAGAUAUAAUGGCUUUCUGAAAGAAGGACUUGGUUCUUCUCUUUCCAUGAAUAUAUAAACCCCACUGCUGUUAUGCUGUCACUACCUGAGCUCUCUCACAGGAAGGCAGGAUUGCCUGGCAGAUCAGUUAGAGGACCUUAUUUCCCAGAACAUUAUUAAGCAUCUUCAGGGAAAAAGAAAUCCCAUGAUUUUAAAGAUGAUAUAGCUACAUUGCCCAUCUCUAGCUGGAAGUGUCCUUCUCAAACGCCUUGAUAAGGGUAAAGGAUGGCUAAUGUUACAUGUGUUAUUUUUUCACCCAUUUGACAAGAAAGGGUUUGAUGGGAUGCUUGCAGCUGACAUUUUAAAGUCUCUAGUCUAGAUAAAAUCCACUCUAAAAUUUUUUUUGCAUGGAGGUACUUCUGUGGAGGACUUCUGAAAUCCGGCAUAUUGCUUCAUUCAGCUGCAUGAGUAAGUCCAGCAAAUUAAGUAUACUUUUGGCAUUAUCUCUUUAUUAAAAAGCUUUCCUUCAGUUAGUCAUUUUUUCUUGCAAAUUCAUGUUGACACAGGUCCCUUUGAAGACUGGAUUUCUGUGAUCAUUAAACCAUAAAGAUCAUUAAAAUUAUUCAGCGGAAGCUGGUUACUUACAAGGCUUAUGUCACUUGAAUUAACCUUGCAAUCACCAGCCUCUACAAACAAGGUGCUCUAGCUACCAAGUAGCUUGCAUUUAUCAUUUUCUGUUGCAGGAUGAUCAAAUGUCAACAGUCACACCUGUAGCAAAAGUAGUACUAGGAUUCUGAAGUGUUUUCUGUGAAUUACAGCUUACUUUUAAUAUUACAAAAGAACGUGGACUUUUAAAUAUAAGAAAAUGAAAUUAAAAUCUAUAGUCUGAAGGCAUCUCUUCUCUAUGACCAAGAAAGAAUCCAUCUUUGUGUUUCCUCAAUUUCUUAGACAAAGGUCCUUGAAGAAGAAAGUAGAAAAAUGUUGUACGUAAAAUGUCCUCUCAAACACAGCAGGCUGCAGGUUUUCUUGGGCUUGGAUUCUUACAGGAUACAAAUGAAAAAAACAAAACAAAACAAAAAAGAGAAGACUGCAGUGAUCUUCCACCUGAAAAAUGAAGGCCUCUGCCUUUUAGAAUAAGAUACAGGCCUCAAAUGAGAUCAGCUUAAGAUCAGCUUAGACUUCCAGAAGUAUUUCUAUGUCUUGAGUUAAAAGGCUUUUGACUAACGACACCAAUGAGGCUUGCAAUUAUGCAGGACGCACAAGAAACAUGCUCAAAGGCACUCCUGGCUUUAAACUUCACACCUAGGACGAUGGGUUUUAAGGUUUUUCCCUGUGGAAUUAUUUUCAAAGACAGCUAUGAGUCUCAGUUUGCAGUCACUGAACACCAUCAACUGUGCAUGGUAGCUGGCAGUGAACUUGGGGACAGAAGUAGCCGGCCAGCAACGUUUUGUUGAUGCUGACUGGGAAGAUCAUAGAUACUAGCCUAGUGAACCAGAGAAAUACAUCUAGAAAUACAGUCCUCCUAGGACCAUUGCUUCCUCCUGCUCAGAAAGGGCAGGUCUAGAGACACCUCCAAUACCAGUGUUGCAUUCCUAAGUGGAAAAGAUGGAAGUAAACAAAAGCAAACCACAUUUCUUCUAGUAAUGAUGUAAUUGUUUUGCUUGCUAGUGCAAAUCUUAAAAAAUAAAGAAAACAAGACAACAUUAUGAAAUCACAAAGCAUUGACAGUUUGCAUAAAAGAUCAAACUAGCGUUCACAGUAGUAUACAAUACCAAAAAAAGAAGCUGCAAGUUUAGCUUAAUUGAUACAUUAUUUGACAAUGAUUUUACCAUUACAAAUCUACCAUCUACAAAUAUUUUGAUCCUGGACCUAAAAAACAAUGGCCAGGCUACAGUGAUACUGCCAGCAAGUUCAGUAGUGGUUAAUACCUGGUCUAUAAAAGACUUCUCCAAACUGCUGUCUGAAGAGCUCAAAAUAGCUCUACAAAAAACAUCCUUAAUCUUACCAUUGUAGGAGUGAGAAAAGCAGCUGAUGAAGCAACAAUCCAGGAGCACUAUCAUUCCAAACACAGAAGUACAUGUAGAAUUUAUACAGCUGUUUUAGACUGCUUGCCUUCCCAAACUCCAUAGAAAAUUAUACAGAGAAAAAUGUAUCUGCACAGAGUCACUCUGAUCACCUACAAUAAACUUCAUUUUUCUUGUCUACAGUGCUUCCCAAAUGCCACCCAGAGUUGGAUGCCAGAAGUAUACAGUAUGAAUUAUACUCAGGAGUACCUCUCUACUGACAAAUGGUAUAAAAACUUCAAAGGAAAGCUGUCUUAAAUUUUGACCAUUUAAGUUCAGUUGUAAUAGCUCAACCUCCACAAAGGUUCUACUCUGAAACCUUUAAGAACAAAAGUAAUGCCUUGAGUAUAGCUCCUCCAGAGGCCGACUUUCGCCUGAUGAACCAGCAAGCCACAAUGCUUGUUUGCUUGUUUCCUGUAAAUAAAGGCCUGCAGUUUCACCUUAUCCUAAAAAAAAAAUCAAAGGCUAAAUUUCUCUUUGAAUGACUGAAGACAUCAGUAUACAGCCUUUCUUCACGAGCUGGCACAUAACAUAGCUGAGCUGUUUCCUGAUCAUUUUGCAGACCAACUCCAGACUCUCCUGAUGAUUCUGUAUAUAUGACCAUCUCUCUCCAACUUUGUAUUUGUGAUGACAAAACUAUCUUACUUACCAAAAGGUGACUAUUAACCAGGUCAUAUUAAUUUGUCACUUUGGGACCUUCUUGGGGAAGAAUUUUGCUAAAUAAUAGAACACUGAGGAGUGGGUAGCAGAAGAUUGAACUAGAUAACCUCCCAAGAAUCCUUCUAAUCAGUUUUCUUUGGAAGCUGUUACUAGCUUCUUUAAAAUCUUGUACAGUGAAAAACUGUCUGCACAAGAAACUAUUGAUCCUUGAAAGGUCAUUUAAAAAAAAAAAAAACCUAUUUGGUUUGAGUGGACAACUUUCCCGGUAAGUUCUGUUUUCUCCCUUGAAAAUAAUACAGAAAAAAAAAAUUUCUGUGAAGUCUUCUGUGAGUACUGAAGACAGUAUGCCAGGAUAGUGGAUAGACACCCCUCACCCCCAUUUAUGAGAAAACUGUUAAUGGAACACUCUAUACCUGUGACAUUUUGAUUCCAAAAAACCCCUUCAAAAAUAAGCCAUCCAAAAGGAUGACAUUAAGAUGUUAAUUAACAAGACAGCAAACCUAAAAUGCUCACAGUACUCUUCCUCAAAUGGCAAGACCUCACAGGUAUGAUAAUGGCAAUGAACUAGUGUAAAAUUGAAUUGACUAUAAAUACAGAAUCUGAGGAUUCCUUUCUGGCAUCAAGCCUAGAUUAAUGGUUAAAUUUCCCCCCACCUUUUAGCAGAUGCUGGAUUACUUAUUUAUGCUAGUAUGCUAAGUCCAAAAAAUGAAGUGAUUAUAAUAGUAAAUGUGGCUACAAUAGUGUAAAUCACAGAUAACCCUUGAAAUAAUGAAAAAUACCAGUUUUUUUUAUUCUGUUUAUGAGGUAGCUUGGCAAUAGGUCUUUUUUCUGCAUCAGCACAUACAUUUUGUGGAGGGAUAAAGAAUCUUACUUUGAAUUAAAGAGUAUAAUUAUAAUACAUAUCAGUCUUUCAUUUUUGCCUGGAAGAAGCCUUCAUCCCAAAUGUGAAGUUUUUUUAUUCUAAAAAAGAAUGAUACUGAAUGAGGACUCUACCACCAACUGGAUGAGUAGAAUGCUUUUCCACUUUUGCAGAUAUAUCCUUAUCAACACUGUUUUGUUUUUUUUUUAAUACUGAAUAGUUUGAUAAGGAUGACACACUCUGCCCUGCCAAGUACCUUUCUCUCUGGAACUGGAUCAGAACUGGAGGUAGACUUUGAUGGACAGUGUUAGGAUAUUCUCUCCAAGAUGCUAACAGAGAGAAACAGAGUCCGCUUAGCAUGUUUUAGCAAAAUCCUCAUGACAGUGACAGAAAACUGCUUCUUUUGCUGUUUAUCUCGUUGAGUUUGUCAAUCAGACUUUGGUGGAUUUUCUCACUCUCUAUCGCAGAGUAGUUGAAGAAGGGGACAAUCCUUUUUCUAUCCUUUUUGCUGGGUGUCCUGUUUUGGCUUGGAUAGAGUUAAUUUUCUUCUUAGUAGGUGGUACAGUGCUGUGUUUUGGAUUGAGUAUGAGACUAAUAUUGAUAACACACUGAUGUUUUAGUUAGAAUAAGCAUUACUUGGCAAACAAGUCAAGGACUUUUCAGUUUCCCAUGCUCUGCCAAAAAGGAGAUGCACAAGAAGCCAGGAGGGAGCACAGCCAGGACAGCUAUCCCGAACUACCCAAUGGGUUAUUCCAUACUAAAGAACAUCAUGCUCAAUAUAUAAACUGGGGGAGAGUUGGCCAGGAGGGGCCAAUCGCUGCUCAGGGACUGGUUGGGCAUUGGUCAGCAGGUGGUGAGCAACUGUUCUGUGUAUCAUUUGGUUAUAUUUUUUCCCCUCGCUUUAUUUCAAUUAUUAAAUUGUUCUGAUCUCAACCCAUGAGUUUUACCUUUUUCCUCUUCCACUCCCCAUCCGACCAGGUGGGGGGGUGUGUUGUAGAGAGGGGGAGUGAGCAAGCCGCUGCAUGGUACUUAGUCGCUGGCUGGGGUUAAAUCGCAACACUGGGGCUGCGUAUUUUUUGCUUCAUAGCAAGAUCCAAAUUUAGUCCUUCCCAGUUCUUUUUAUCAUGUAGAGCAGAAUUUGAGAUAGGAGUUCUCUGAUGACAGGACUCUGGGUUUAUUCUUUCAAGCGCUCUUUUUAACUUGAAGACUUACGCAUGUUCAAAAUACUGACUUCACAAGGGGCUCCUAGACACCUCUGCUUUGUUCAGUGGAGAUCCUUUGUCAGAGUCGGAGUGUGUUCAGCCUAUGACCAGAGUACCAGACUCUAAACCAUGAGAUCCAAAACUAGCCGUCAGAGUUCUUUCUCAAAUGGGAUGCAAUGGGACUGACAUUGCUGGCAUGACACAGCUCUGGUUCACUUUAAACCUGCACAAAGAUGAUGAAGGUUAAUAGGAAGAGUAAGCAAUGAGCUUUACAGCCUCUUACUCUGCCGCAGAAUCCUGUUGAUCAGCGCCUUAAUGAGAAAUUAGCUUCAGAAGAGCUGAGUAACUAUUUCAUUCUGUUCAAGUUCUUCCAUCUUUCUACUCUUAUUCAGGCAAGGAAGACUUGUUUCUCUCUUAAGCAGAGGAGGUUUACAACAGAGGGUCUACCAGCACUUCUUGGAAGACCUUCCUCAAAAAGGUUGAAAAAAAUUCUGCUUCUGUUAGAACCCUUUAGAGGACCUGAGACUUCAACAACAGAAAAGAAGAAUCAUCUACGUGCUCAAAUUUAAGAAUAGACAAAAUCUAGUUUGCUUCUCUGAUUGCGGCUUUCUUCAUGUUCUACAAAGUAUUUGAGUAAGCUAAGGAAAUGAAGACAGACCUAAGGCAAGAAGCAUUUCAACAGAAGUCAAGACUUGGAAAUACAAGAGUGUUUAUUCAGUCAGACAAAAUGACAGUGUGAGAAAGAACCACCUCACAUUACCACCACAACUUCCACACAUUUAUAGGUCUUUCUCACUGUAAUUCUACAUGGACACAGCUUUCUGCAAAGCCAACAUAAAAAUACUACUUUCCAAAUUCAUGAAGAGAGAUUAGACUCCAACCCCCUCCAAACCAAAAGCUAAACUUCAACACACAAAAAUUAUGUAAUGCCCUUGGAAACCAAGAAUUCAUUUUUCUGUCCCAUAAAAUAUGAUCCCUUCCCCGAAACCACUGAAAAUUCUGUUCUACAGUUACCACACGUAUUUACAGGAUUGUUGACACUGAAGUAAAGGAUCAAUGCAUGUUCUUGCAGUGACAAAUCCUACACCCAUAUUCCUCAGCCCUUCAUUUCCACCCACAUGUUAUUUCUACUAUGGUGACAGAACAGUUUGUAAAACUGUCGUGGUUUAACCCCAGCUGGUAACUAGGUACCACGCAACCGCUUGCUCACCCACCCCUCACCCAGAGGGAUGGGGAGAAUUGGGAAAGGAAUGUAAAACUCAGUGGUUGAUAUAAGAACAAUUUAAUAGGUAAAGCAAAAGCCAUGCAUACAAGUAAAGCAAAACAAGGAAUUCAUUCACUACUUUCCAUCGGCAGGCAGAUGCUCGGCCAUCUCCAGGAAAGCAGCGCUCCAUCACACCUAACAGUUACUUGGCAAGACAAAUGCCCUAACCUCAAACGUCCUCUUCUUUAUUCUUCCCCCAGCUUAUAUAUACUCUGUAUGACAUACCAUGGUAUGGAACACCUCUUUGGCUGGUUCAGAUCAGCUGACCUGGCUGUGUCCCCUCCCGCCUUCUCACUGGCAAGGCCUAAGAAAACUAAAACCUCCUUGACUUAGUACAAACACUACCUAGCACACUGAUGUUUUCAGCUGUUGCUAUCAGCACUGUUCUUACACCAAAUCCACAGCACUGCACUAGCUACUAAUAACAACAUUAACUCUGUCCCAGCCAAAACCAGAAAAAAAACCACAGCAGUGAGCUACUGAACCAGCUUCCCCCCAGUAGCCUUUCAUACCAGUUUUCUGAUCCAGUUUCUUGCUGUGCCAACAUCAUGAAUAGAAUAGCAAAGGCUAGGAAGAAACAGCUAGAACUAGGAAGUUACAAGGGCUCCUUAAGCAAUGUUGGUUUCAUAGCUUAGAUUAUUUCCAGCUAAUUUUCUGUCUACUCAAGCCACAACUAUGUGUGUGUGGUAUGGGCCUACCUAUGUGUGAAGUUCCUUAAGCUAGGCUGUCUAGAUGCAUUUUCCAUCAUGUAUGCCCACAUACUCAAAACUGAACUCAGUUUCUGUGUCCUUGUGCACCCCCUUCUCCAUGCUCAACAACAAAUAAUUUAAAAAUAACCUCAUGCUUUUGGCUCAUCAGGGCAAUUUUACUGCCACGAAUGUGUCUGAGCUGUUCAAUAUUAGGAGGUAUUUAAUGAUAAACCAAAACUAGCAAAAAAUUUGUCUUGAAGUGUCACUGCAAACCAGAAAAAUUCAGAAAGCUGCACAAAAAUCUGUGCAACUAAACAACAGUGAAUACACAAGUCCCAAGCUAAGCCAUCCUAGAUCUAUCAGUGACCUCUGUCUUCCUUUAAGACUGCUAGGAAGUCAAAAAAUUAAGCCAGAGAUGGUGAAAAAUCUGCAUCUGAACAAAUUUCACUUAUUGAUAAAACUAUUCUAAAUGGUUAUAGAUUUAUAUUUGAAGAAGUCCACAGUCACCUCACUUCACCAAUGGACUACUUUCAGAACAUUAUGUGGGGAGGUUCUGAAAAGAAUCAUGUUCUACUCAUCACAGUAUCUUCUUUAGACAUUUUGAUAUUUAACCUAAUUCCAAACGGCUGCCCUGAAAAAAAUAUUUAAUGAGACACAUACUCCAGAAAAUGGAUCCAGCUUCUACUGAACAGAGAGGCUACGACCAUCCUUAACUGAUUCACCUUUGCACGCUUUGGAACAAUCCAAUAUUCAACUUGGAUGUUCUUGGGUAGAUGCAAUGUUUGUGGGUUUUUUUGUAAUGAAAACCAACCAUUGAAAAAACAUCCAUGAAGUUUUGGUUCAGCACAAAUAAAAAUUAAGACUCAAACAAAUAUAUGUACAGAUGCCUCAGCACUUGAAACUAAUUGCUCAAAAAAAAAAAAAUCAAGGGAAACAUUGCAAAUAAGGUUAAGUACUGUGACCAAGAAGAAAGAAAACUUAGAAUAAUUCUUUAGAGAUCCUAGUCAGUGAAAACACAACUUGAACUACAUAUAUGCCUGCCAUAACUUGUAGAGGGAUUUUUAAAGACAUAUGUUACCAUUGUCUGGGUUGGACAACCCAGGCCUGUUAGUUGAAGCUGCAGAGCAGCUUCAAAUUGUCCUGGGAACAAGCAGUGGGAGAAAGAAAACAAGCUAUGCACAAACAAGAAGCCAGGUGCAGAGCAAGUCCUGGGAACCGCAAAAUCAACACACUCUCAUCUGCACACUCUAAGGCGCCUGCAGCAUGCUCACCAGUCGGUGACACGGACCCCACGUGGCCUAGAGACUUUUAUCCAAUCACCUGUGUGUAAAGUCUGGUGAGCGGUCAGUUUAAGUUAUAAAUAUGACCUGUUUGUUUAAUAAAGUGAGCACAGCAUGUAGCCAUAUUGGUGUGAUUGUCUUGACUUGGCCGACUCUCCACAGGGGACCCUCUUCAAUAACUCUCCCUCCCCCACUCCUCAAACUAACAGCCACACAAAAGACUUCAUCUAAAGAUCUGGACUCAAGCUAAGCUAUUAGGGCAGAGUUUACAUCUCUACUACACCAUCACAAAUAGAGCAGAGGAAAUAGAUCAAUUAAAUACACAAAAGCAAUUCAACACCAUGUAGAAAAGAACUGCUCUUCUAUAGGCUGACAAAUAACAUGGCAGUUACGUAUUUUUUUUAAAACAAUGUGGAUAACAACUUGCUGUGGCUUGCCAAGUAAUUUGAGAAAAAUAGAAAAAUUAUGAUGGAUAAGAUUAUCACAGCAGCACACCAAAUAUUUCAUCUUGGAAUGUCCACUGUUAUUUUUCUGUCCAUUGUAUUGCCAAAAGCUUCCCAAUAUCUAAGCUAAAAGUACAAGGCAGAAGUACCAGCAAGCUGGUCUGCCUUUGAAAAAGCAGCAUGGUGCUUGUGCUGCUCCUGUGAUAAAGCAAUGAACCCAAACCAGCUGUCUGCUAUAAAAAAAAAUAUCUCCUGCACUGUCUGAGGACAGCAAGGACAGGCCUUGCCUCUGGCAUUGUCCAGAAAAUGUGUUCAUCUGCACAGUAACAGGAAAAAACUUCCUAUACCUAUCAGAAUUACCUUGAGGUAAGAAAAUCUGUUUGAAGGCUUGAAAGAGACAGGUGUAUGUCUUGGUAACGCAUGUCUGCCCCUCCAGUUCUGGUUGAGGAUGGUGCCAUUGAAAAUUACAAAAUGGGACAAGACAAGCUGAAGCAGGUUCUCUCUCAUGUGGGAAGGGCAGUUUCUUUGUGACUGAAGCAGUAUCUCAUAAUCCCCACCACAUAUUCACUUGAGAGUGAUGCAUGCCCUUUGUCUGACCAUCCUAAAAGAUAUCCUUGAACGUAACUCUGAAGAACAUCUGAAACAUGUUUUAAGGUGGGUAUUAAGACACUAUAUGGGUGUGAUCCAUUUCUCUACCUCAAAGUCACAUGGGCAGUGGAAUAGUCAGAAUAUUGCAUAUAGAACACCUAAGGAAGUAACAGUCUCCCAUGCCAAGAAUCAAAUCCUAAAAAACAACAGAACAUUUAACAUGGAAGAUUAUUCUAGAAAAGGAACUAUUUUGUUUAUAAGGCUUCCUUCACUUCUAAAAGUUACACUUCCCAGAAAGGUAAUCAAUAAACAGACUAGGCAUAGAGGCAGUCUCAAAAAUUAAGUCAAAAUACGCAGACUCUUGCAUGAUCAUCUUGUUCUGGAAAACUGUUCUCUGCUUUUGAAGGUGUGGCUUUUUCAGCUUCUCUAUUCAAGACUUCUUCAAAUUUGGUGUUCCACAGGAAGGGCUUUAAUUUCUUAUGAAGAUCCAUAAUACUACUAAGUCCAUAAUCUUCCAGGUUACCCUGGCAGUGAAGGUGGUAUGAAGCAGAUAGUGUGCAUACUGAAUUCAGCUCUGAGUGGAAUCAGAUACAUUCUCAUCAUCUGUCAAGUCAGGGAGAAUGUGCAAAGAUUUACAUUAUUUCCCAGCUACAGUGAAGGCCAAAGGCCUGGAGCUUCCAAAGUCUCCAUAUGCCAAACUUGAGCAAAACAUGAACAAAACAUCACUACCAAAGAUCUACCCGUCUGUAAAAGCAGAGAGGCACUGAAAGAAAAAAAAAUGAGCGAACAAAAGAAAAAUCUCUGGGACUAUAACGUAGUAGCAACAAACUCUCUACGCCUUGCUAGUCAAUGUAGUUUCAGUGCAAAGUCUGCCUGUUUGCUGCAGGACAACACAUACAUGUCCCUAUGGAUGCAAUAUGACUUUGGACAAAACAAAACAAUAAAAUAAAAUCACCAAAUGACUGUUCCUCACAAACAUAUAAAACUGCAGAGGGGGUGGGGACAACCCAAAAGUAACACUUUGGGAUUACCCUAAUAGUUGUUUUGUACCCACAGUGCAUGUAUGUUUGUUUGUGUGUGUAUGCAUAUGUACAACGACAAACCAUGGAGGAGGAUGUGUAGUUUCCCUCAGUACAAGGUAGUAUGACCUGGAGAAUAAAGCACCAGACUGGUGCUGAUGAUGAGCAUGUUUCCAUUUCAGUUCCACUACUGAUCAAUAGUUUAGCCUCAUCAAAUCAGAAUUAUCACCUGCCUCAGUUUUUUAUUGACUGUAAAGUGAGAUAGAGAUGAGGUUUUUUUCUGUAAACUUUACUGCCAGAAGUCAGGAAUCAUGACAGAGUCAUGUAGAAGAGUCUCAUCUCUUGGAUUUUCUUAGGAAAAAAGCUUCAGCUAGUCAGCAGGUACAAGCAGAAGACUCAGUAACAAAUGUAAGUAAAUACAAAAGCAAAUAAAUUUAUUUUGAAUACAGCUUUUAUCUAGCUUAUGCUUUUAUAGGAAGACAACAUAUUUCCAGUUCACAAUGGAUAUGGAACAUAUUUCAUAAUCUUAAAAUCUACACCUCACAAAAUCAUUACUUUUCAAGUAAUAUAAAGAAUGACAGAAAGAUUGCUCAUAUCUGAAAAUACACAUUAUGCAAUAUUGGAACAAAACUACAUGAAAUGCUUUUCUUGUAAGAGUACAUGGUAUUAUUUGAGGGAAAAGGUAAGGUUAGAUGACUGUCAAAUCCGGCAUAAUUUUCUGUGAAGCUUAACAUUGACUCUGAAUAUCCUGGGUUUAAUUCUUGAUCCUAGGGCCAUUGUAACACUGUGAAGGACGUAUUUUACCAAGUAAGGGACUAUCCUAUUAUUUAAGAACAUUAUUUAGACAGUGAAUUCAUUUUGAAAAGUUUUCAUUAAUAAAUCCAUUGCUUCUAAGGAAAUUCCACAAGUUGCAAGUUCAUUCCAAAUGCCACUGUUUGUGUAGUCUUUUUUCAUAAGGAUGUUUAAAUAAACAUGACCAAACCCCAAAUAACCAAAGCAAAAAGAUCUCUUUCAGUGCUUCAGCAUUUUUGCUGAGGAUCAGAAUGCUGCUCCUUUGAAAAUAGUUUCUAGAAAACAUCAAUCACCAAAAAUUUUAGACAGUGCUUCUAGAAUCCAUUUCCUAUAUCAAAUCAUUCAAAUUUAUGAGAGCACAGAACAGAGAAAGUAGUGUAUCUUGACGGGGAAAAACAGAACUACUUGUGCUCCAUUACCCAAACACAUGCAUCUUAGUUUAAGCGAAGUAUAAUGUUGCAUUUCACCUGAAGAGUUCUGAAGUGCUCAGUCCUUCCAACUUUUAAGGAAAACAGGAUGCAGAGAUGGAGAUUAUAGUAAACUGGUAAAUUUAAAAGUUCAGGAACACAAAGGAUGAGACUCAGUAGCCUAACAACAGGCAACUAGUGCUGGUUUUGAUGCUCAAGAAUCUGCAUGAAGCUAGCAGACGUAACACAGGAACUAGAGAUGCCAGUGCCCUCCUGGAAUCACAGCUGAGAUGCAGAAAUACAUUCUAGAGCACCUAAAACGGCUUUACAUGACUAUGCCUGUGAAGUGAAUCCUACCCUUGAAAACUAACUGAUGCCAAAUUACAGAAGUGUAGGAAACUCACAGCAAAUGCCUGCUUGCUUUCUCCAAGUUCCCAGCAAAUGGUUUGACUGCAGUAGAGAAAGUCUCUUGGGGACUAUCUAAGCCAUGUAAUAAAGCUAGUAUUUUGUGGUAUACUUUUAAGUGACCCAAACCCCUAAAAUGUCAUUUUCUUCAUAUGUUUAAUACAUGGAAAGCGAAGUCCAAUUCAAAAUUAUCCCUGUGCUUCAUCAAAGGGCAGAGAUUACAUGGGCUGUACUAGUUUGGCAACAGUUACAAGUGAAUGAAAGUUUCACAUUGUACAUAAAGGAAGGCUCAUUUAAACCUCUGAAAAGGACUGGGAUGAAAAGCUAUUCAGCAGAUCAGUAUCAUCAGCCUGGCCCAGUUUUGCAGGGCAACAACUUGGACUCUCACAUGCAAAGUUCAUAUUAUAUGAAUGAAAAACACCACCACUACAGUUUUGUUCCAUCUAAUUUCUACAAUGAUAGCUCAGAAAAGCCAAGAAAAAGAUUUUGCAUUAAAAUCUUUAAGGUGUCAAAGUCCCCUAUCUUUCUGAAACAGAAUUAAAGGAUUUUCAUUACAUUUCUACUAAAAAUUGAAAACAAAUUACCUCUUGACCUUGAGAAACCACUCAUCUGGAAUACUUUACUUUCAAUGAUAUAUUUUUAAUUGUGUAACACUUUUAAGCUGGUGAUUGUUCUCUCCCCCCACCCCCCCAAAAAAAGUGAUUUGAUGCACUGUAAUAAAAGUGAUUCAUAAAAUAAAACACCUGCUUGAUAAGCAGCUUGUUUUCUGCUACCUCUUUUCAUCUUUUGUAAAAUACAUGACAUUGUCAUGUUCUGAGAACAUAUAACAAUCUACCUGUGAAUCUUACAUAGGAAUCCAGCUAUAAGUUAUUCUCAACUUGGAAAUGCUUUAUAUCAAAGCCAUCUCUAUUCCUUAGAACUUAAAGCAUAUUGCAAAUCAGGAAGCAAUUCUUUGAGCAAGCUAUAUAGCUUAGAAAAUGUCUGCUUAGUUUGUUGUCCACAGAA